UUGAAAAGUAACACAUACAGGGUUCUUACACCUCUUCCAAAGUCAAAUUCAAGCACUUUUCAAGCCUUUUCAAGGUGCAUUUUCCAGCUUUUCAAGCAUCUUACAGCUGUUGUAAA